AUGGUGACAGCGCCGGUCAUUAAUGAAUGUCGAACUAAUCUAGUAGAUUUCGGGAGGGUUACUAUUGAGCAUUGUAUUAGAGAGUCAAAUUAUGUAGCUCAUGAGUUGGCUAGAUGGGGACGUGUUAACAAUCCAUCUCUUUGGAUUGAUGCCCCACCUGAUUUUAUUGUGAAAUUGCUAGCAGACGAUGUAUCUAUCAUUUGA
rnacentral:rRNA from 1 species